rnacentral:lncRNA from 1 species
UUUUUUUUGUCAAACAACCUGCAUGUGAAAUAAGCGCAAAGUUGGCAAGUUGAUUCUCGAAAAUAGCGAUUAUGGCUCUCAAUAAAAGCAAAAUGAAAAGGCCAUUGCUAGGCUCCGACGGGCCGGCUGGUCGGCUAGCAGCCAUUCGAUUUGAGUGAGAUGGAUCCCAUGAUCUAUGCCUUUCCAUUCCUUUCGUAUUUGUCAAAUUCUCUUCCCCCACGUCUCUCCUUCCCCUUAGAGCUUGUUUGGUUUCUUGAAAUUUGAUGGGUUUGAAGGGGAUUAAAAAGGAUUUCAUCCUUUAUAUAAGUUAAAAUCAACCUUAAUCUCCUUCAAUCCUCUACAAUCCCGUGUAGGAGGGAUUAACCAAACAAGCCCUUAGGUCUCGUUUAGCAUAGAGGGACUCGUACGGUUUUGAAGGGAAUUUUCACAUGUGGGCCAGAACCAUCUAAAUCCUCUUUGGUCCAUUUGGUACAUGGGCUCUCUGUUGGAAAUAUGCCCUAUAGGUAAUAAUAAAAUAGU